UACGUAGGGUGCGAGCGUUUGUCCGGAAUUAUUGGGCGUAAAGGGCUCGUAGGCGGUUUGUCGCGUCGGGAGUGAAAUCCACUGGCUUAACUGGUGGCUUGCUUUCGAUACGGGCAGACUGGAGGUAUGCAGGGGAGAACGGAAUUCCUGGUGUAGCGGUGAAAUGCGCAGAUAUCAGGAGGAACACCGGUGGCGAAGGCGAGUCUCUAGACAACUCCUGACACUGAGGCACGAAAGCUAGGGGAGCAAACAGG
rnacentral:rRNA from 1 species